AAAGCCAGCUCUGGAAUACACUCAUUUGAGAGUCUUGUAAAGCUGUUGUCCGUGUGUUAUUGCUUACAAAUGAUCCUCCAUCAACGUUGAUUAUGGUGACCGAGGGAUCGAGAACCGAGGGGAUUAGAGUCCAUUACAACAUUAACCCUUUCAGCUUGGUGUCUAGAAGUGGGAUAGAAGUUGGAUCAGCAAAACCAUUUGCGGUGAGUAGCCUUUUUGUGUCUUAUUUGACGCUGAUUGUCUAUGACCCCCCUUUGGUUCAGUAAGACUGUAUCCAGUAGAUAGGAAAGGUGUAAGGACUCUAGUUAUAUUGAGACUAUAAGAGGUCUCCGGUUUAUUAGACAUUUGGUCUAAAUAUAUAUAGGGUUUUGGUAACCCAGGUUAGUAUCUAAGAUAGAUACAGGUUUUUGAGACCAUAAGAGGUCUCCGGUUUAUUAUAGGGUUUUGGUAACCCAGGUUAGUAUCUAAGAUAGAUACAGGGUAUCUCAGGUAGAUACAGGUUUUGAGACCAUAAGAGGUCUCCGGUUUAUUAAGUCUAUAGGUGUUCUGAGCAGCAUGGUUUGUAGAUCUUUAAGUAUAACCCAAACUUCUCUUUCUCCCGGUCACCUUUGUUUGUCUUAAGUGUUUUUUGUGGGUGAUUGAUUGUCUAUAUUGGGGACACACUUUGGUAAGUUAGUAGUGUCCCCACUCUGAAUCAGCAGUAUGGGAAAUGUGAGUUCAGGUCCUGAGUGACCAAUAUGUGUAUGUAUAUAUGUGUAUAUGUAUGUAUAUAUGUGUGUGUAUAUGUAUAUGUGUAUAUAUAAGAUAGCAGUACUUUUAAACAAAUGGAGGUUUUAAAAAUACAUAGGGAUUAAGGAGAGAACGCAGGUAACUUGUUUUUCUUUGGUUUUUACCAUAUAUUGGGGCUGAUGUGUACUGUAGUCCUUGCUGCUGUCCAGUAGUGAUGGGAGUGAGCGUAGGACUUAUCUUUCUGCAAGAUAGCAGUACUGUAUAUUAGAAAAGAAAUGACUCAUAGGUUGUACCUGAUAGACCUACUUAAAUCUUUUUGCUUUAUUCUUUCUGUCGCAUAGAAGUAUAAGUUUAUUACUCUGUUUUAUUGUAAGUUAUUUCACAUGGGAACUGUGUGCCUGGAAUGAUUGUUGCUUUAAAAAUACUAUAAGCCCACUACACUUAUUAUGAGAGUGGGAUAGUGUAAAUGUGUUGCAUUGUUUGCAUGAUGAGCUCAGUAUAUUUUAUAACUGAGACAAAAAGUCACAUCAUUAGUAUUUUAAAGUUAAUUCCCCAUAUGGGAUUAAUUGUAUAGAAACACCAAUCAGCACAUCUUCCCUGCCCUGUGUGUUUGUUGCAAAGGAUCCAUAAUGUAAAUAUAAUUUUUGUUUGAAAAUAACAGAGCAACAUUUACAUUUUCAGCGGUCCAACACAUGCUUUAUUUUGCACUGUAAACUAACCUUUUUAUUGCAACAGGUUCCUUUUAAAUGAUCCAGUGUAAUAACUAGUGCUUGUGUCUUCUAUGUCUCACAUUAUGUGUUAUUUUUAAAUUGUGGUAUAUAGCCUGAAUCAGACAUCAUGGACAAAGGGUUUUUACCUGUAUUACAAAGGGCUCUUGGAGACUGACCGG
rnacentral:lncRNA from 1 species